rnacentral:rRNA from 1 species
CCUACGGGUGGCUGCAGUGGGGAAUAUUGGACAAUGGGCGAAAGCCUGAUCCAGCCAUGCCGCGUGUGUGAAGAAGGCCUUCGGGUUGUAAAGCACUUUCAGUGGGGAAGAAAGCCUUGGGGCUAAUACCCUCGAGGAAGGACAUCACCCACAGAAGAAGCACCGGCUAACUCCGUGCCAGCAGCCGCGGUAAUACGGAGGGUGCGAGCGUUAAUCGGAAUUACUGGGCGUAAAGCGCGCGUAGGCGGUCUGAUAAGCCGGUUGUGAAAGCCCCGGGCUCAACCUGGGAACGGCAUCCGGAACUGUCAGGCUAGAGUGCAGGAGAGGAAGGUAGAAUUCCCGGUGUAGCGGUGAAAUGCGUAGAGAUCGGGAGGAACACCAGUGGCGAAGGCGGCCUUCUGGACUGACACUGACGCUGAGGUGCGAAAGCGUGGGUAGCAAACAGGAUUAGAUACCCGAGUAGUC